UACGUAGGGGGCAAGCGUUGUCCGGAAUCAUUGGGCGUAAAGAGCGCGUAGGCGGCCCUGUAAGUCCGCUGUGAAAGUCAAGGGCUCAACCCUUGGAUGCCGGUGGAUACUGCAGGGCUAGAGUCCGGAAGAGGCGAGUGGAAUUCCUGGUGUAGCGGUGAAAUGCGCAGAUAUCAGGAGGUACACCGAUGGCGAAGGCAGCUCGCUGGGACGGUACUGACGCUGAGGCGCGAAAGCGUGGGGAGCAAACGGG
rnacentral:rRNA from 1 species